rnacentral:rRNA from 1 species
CAUGCAAGUCGUACGCUUCUUUUUCCACCGGAGCUUGCUCCACCGGAAAAAGAAGAGUGGCGAACGGGUGAGUAACACGUGGGUAACCUGCCCAUCAGAAGGGGAUAACACUUGGAAACAGGUGCUAAUACCGUAUAACAAUCGAAACCGCAUGGUUUUGAUUUGAAAGGCGCUUUCGGGUGUCGCUGAUGGAUGGACCCGCGGUGCAUUAGCUAGUUGGUGAGGUAACGGCUCACCAAGGCCACGAUGCAUAGCCGACCUGAGAGGGUGAUCGGCCACAUUGGGACUGAGACACGGCCCAAACUCCUACGGGAGGCAGCAGUAGGGAAUCUUCGGCAAUGGACGAAAGUCUGACCGAGCAACGCCGCGUGAGUGAAGAAGGUUUUCGGAUCGUAAAACUCUGUUGUUAGAGAAGAACAAGGAUGAGAGUAACUGUUCAUCCCUUGACGGUAUCUAACCAGAAAGCCACGGCUAACUACGUGCCAGCAGCCGCGGUAAUACGUAGGUGGCAAGCGUUGUCCGGAUUUAUUGGGCGUAAAGCGAGCGCAGGCGGUUUCUUAAGUCUGAUGUGAAAGCCCCCGGCUCAACCGGGGAGGGUCAUUGGAAACUGGGAGACUUGAGUGCAGAAGAGGAGAGUGGAAUUCCAUGUGUAGCGGUGAAAUGCGUAGAUAUAUGGAGGAACACCAGUGGCGAAGGCGGCUCUCUGGUCUGUAACUGACGCUGAGGCUCGAAAGCGUGGGGAGCAAACAGGAUUAGAUACCCUGGUAGUCCACGCCGUAAACGAUGAGUGCUAAGUGUUGGAGGGUUUCCGCCCUUCAGUGCUGCAGCUAACGCAUUAAGCACUCCGCCUGGGGGAGUACGACCGCAAGGUUGAAACUCAAAGGAAUUGACGGGGGCCCGCACAAGCGGUGGAGCAUGUGGUUUAAUUCGAAGCAACGCGAAGAACCUUACCAGGUCUUGACAUCCUUUGACCACUCUAGAGAUAGAGCUUCCCCUUCGGGGGCAAAGUGACAGGUGGUGCAUGGUUGUCGUCAGCUCGUGUCGUGAGAUGUUGGGUUAAGUCCCGCAACGAGCGCAACCCUUAUUGUUAGUUGCCAUCAUUUAGUUGGGCACUCUAGCAAGACUGCCGGUGACAAACCGGAGGAAGGUGGGGAUGACGUCAAAUCAUCAUGCCCCUUAUGACCUGGGCUACACACGUGCUACAAUGGGAAGUACAACGAGUCGCGAAGUCGCGAGGCUAAGCUAAUCUCUUAAAGCUUCUCUCAGUUCGGAUUGUAGGCUGCAACUCGCCUACAUGAAGCCGGAAUCGCUAGUAAUCGCGGAUCAGCACGCCGCGGUGAAUACGUUCCCGGGCCUUGUACACACCGCCCGUCACACCACGAGAGUUUGUAACACCCGAAGUCGGUGAGGUAACCUUUUGGAGCCAGCCGCCUAAGG